rnacentral:rRNA from 1 species
AUGCAGAACCAGGCGCUGAUGGUGGAAGGGCUCUCGGGUGACGGUGGAGUAGGCGGCAGUGUAGUAUCCCUCCGCACCAAUGUUAGAUGCGAUAGGAAUGUGCCUGAAAGGGGAAGUGUCCAACGCCUGAUACUCUCCACGAAGACGUGUCAGAGCCGCAUGAGCAGUAUCGUGGACUGCCAUCUCGAUGGUCACUCCAACACCAUGAGCGGUGUGCAGCACGGUAGUGGACUCAUACUCCCGAGAGUAGAGGUGGACGAUGGCACGGUACUGCUCCUGGUUAAAGUCCCGAUACUCCUCGUAGACGGUGUACUCAGGGUGCUAGCGAUAACCUAG